GAUGAACGCUGGCGGCGUGCCUAAUACAUGCAAGUCGAGCGAACGGACGAGAAGCUUGCUUUUCUGAUGUUAGCGGCGGACGGGUGAGUAACACGUGGAUAACCUACCUAUAAGACUGGGAUAACUUCGGGAAACCGGAGCUAAUACCGGAUAAUAUUUUGAACCGCAUGGUUCAAAAGUGAAAGACGGUCUUGCUGUCACUUAUAGAUGGAUCCGCGCUGCAUUAGCUAGUUGGUAAGGUAACGGCUUACCAAGGCAACGAUGCAUAGCCGACCUGAGAGGGUGAUCGGCCACACUGGAACUGAGACACGGUCCAGACUCCUACGGGAGGCAGCAGUAGGGAAUCUUCCGCAAUGGGCGAAAGCCUGGCGGAGCAACGCCGCGUGAGUGAUGAAGGUCUUCGGAUCGUAAAACUCUGUUAUUAGGGAAGAACAUAUGUGUAAGUAACUGUGCACAUCUUGACGGUACCUAAUCAGAAAGCCACGGCUAACUACGUG
rnacentral:rRNA from 1 species